rnacentral:rRNA from 1 species
UACGUAGGGAGCAAGCGUUGUCCGGAAUCAUUGGGCGUAAAGCGCGCGUAGGUGGCCUCAUAAGUCCGCUGUGAAAGUCAAAGGCUCAACCUUUGAAAGCCGGUGGAUACUGUGGGGCUAGAGUACGGAAGAGGCGAGUGGAAUUCCUGGUGUAGCGGUGGAAUGCGCAGAUAUCAGGAGGAACACCAAUAGCGAAGGCAGCUCGCUGGGACGUUACUGACACUGAGACACGAAAGCCAGGGGAGCGAACGGG